GAUGAAGAACGUAGCGAAACGCGAUAAGUAAUGUGAAUUGCAGAAUUUAGUGAAUCAUCGAACUUUUGAACGCACAUUGCGCCCGCUAGUAUUCUGGCGGGCAUGCCUGUCCGAGCGUCAUUUCAACCCUCAAGCCCCCGGGCUUGGUGUUGGGGAUCGGCGAGCCUCCGCGCCCGCCGUCCCCUAAAUCUAGUGGCGGUCUCGCUGUAGCUUCCUCUGCGUAGUAGCACACCUCGCACUGGGAAACAGCGCGGCCACGCCGUUAAACCCCCAACUUCUGAACGUUUGACCUCGGAUCAGGUAGGAAUACCCGCUGAACUUAAGCAUAUCAAUAAGCGGAGGA
rnacentral:misc_RNA from 1 species